rnacentral:rRNA from 1 species
CCUACGGGUGGCAGCAGUAGGGAAUCUUCCACAAUGGGCGAAAGCCUGAUGGAGCAACGCCGCGUGGGUGAAGAAGGUCUUCGGAUCGUAAAACCCUGUUGUUAGAGAAGAAAGUGCGUGAGAGUAACUGUUCACGUUUCGACGGUAUCUAACCAGAAAGCCACGGCUAACUACGUGCCAGCAGCCGCGGUAAUACGUAGGUGGCAAGCGUUAUCCGGAUUUAUUUGGCGUAAAGGGAACGCAGGCGGUCUUUUAAGUCUGAUGUAAAAGCCUUCGGCUUAACCGGAGUAGUGCAUUGGAAACUGGGAGACUUGAGUGCAGAAGAUGAGAGUGGAACUCCAUGUGUAGCGGUGAAAUGCGUAGAUAUAUGGAAGAACACCAGUGGCGAAAGCGGCUCUCUGGUCUGUAACUGACGCUGAGGUUCGAAAGCGUGGGUAGCAAACAGGAUUAGAUACCCCAGUAGUC